GGGCUGGAAAGAUGCACACAUACUAAAAUUGGCACAAUUCAGAAAAGAUUAGCAUGGCCGCUGGCAAGGAUGACAUGCAAAUUCGUGAAGUGCUUCAUUUAAAA